rnacentral:tRNA from 1 species
GGAGCGAUACCCAAGAGGCUGAAGGGGCGGGCUUGGAAAGCUCGUAGACAGUAACAUGUGCCAGGGUUCAAAUCCCUGUCGCUCCGCCA